AGCGAACGCUGGCGGCAUGCCUUACACAUGCAAGUCGAACGGUAACAGGUCUUCGGAUGCUGACGAGUGGCGAACGGGUGAGUAAUACAUCGGAACGUGCCUAGUAGUGGGGGAUAACUACUCGAAAGAGUGGCUAAUACCGCAUGAGAUCUACAGAUGAAAGCAGGGGAUCGCAAGACCUUGUGCUAAUAGAGCGGCCGAUGGCAGAUUAGGUAGUUGGUGGGAUAAAAGCUUACCAAGCCGACGAUCUGUAGCUGGUCUGAGAGGACGAUCAGCCACACUGGGACUGAGACACGGCCCAGACUCCUACGGGAGGCAGCAGUGGGGAAUUUUGGACAAUGGGCGCAAGCCUGAUCCAGCAAUGCCGCGUGCAGGAUGAAGGCCUUCGGGUUGUAAACUGCUUUUGUACGGAACGAAAAGCCCCGGGUUAAUACCCUGGGGUCAUGACGGUACCGUAAGAAUAAGCACCGGCUAACUACGUGCCAGCCGCCGCAGUAA
rnacentral:rRNA from 1 species